rnacentral:rRNA from 1 species
UACAGAGGUCUCAAGCGUUGUUCGGAUUCAUUGGGCGUAAAGGGUGCGUAGGCGGCGCGGUAAGUCGGGUGUGAAAUCUUGGAGCUUAACUCCGAAACUGCAUUCGAUACUGCCGUGCUUGAGGACUGGAGAGGAGACUGGAAUUUACGGUGUAGCGGUGAAAUGCGCAGAUAUCAGGAGGAACACCGGUGGCGAAGGCGGGUCUCUGGGCCGAAAUUGACGCUGAGGAGCGAAAGCGUGGGGAGCAAACAGG